AUGGCUCAGGACGAACGCUGGCGGCGUGCCUAACACAUAGCAAGUCGAACGGAGUCAAGAAGCUUGCUUUUGACUUAGUGGCGGACGGGUGAGUAACGCGUGAGUAACCUGCCUCUGAGAGGGGAAUAACGUUCUGAAAAGAACGCUAAUACCGCAUAACGUAUCGAAGCCGCAUGACUUUGAUACCAAAGAUUUUAUCGCUCGGAGAUGGACUCGCGUCCGAUUAGUUAGUUGGUGAGGUAACGGCUCACCAAGACCGCGAUCGGUAGCCGGACUGAGAGGUUGAUCGGCCACAUUGGGACUGAGACACGGCCCAGACUCCUACGGGAGGCAGCAGUGGGGAUAUUGCGCAAUGGGGGCAACCCUGACGCCAGCAACGCCGCGUGAAGGAUGAAGGUUUUCGGAUUGUAAACUUCUUUUAUCAGGGACGAAGCUUGACGGUACCUGAUGAAUAAGCUCCGGCUAACUACGUGCCAGCAGCAGC
rnacentral:rRNA from 1 species